rnacentral:rRNA from 1 species
GACAGCAGUAGCCACGGUAAUACGGAAGGUCCAGGCGUUAUCCGGAUUUAUUGGGUUUAAAGGGAGCGUAGGCUGGAGAUUAAGUGUGUUGUGAAAUGUAGACGCUCAACGUCUGACUUGCAGCGCAUACUGGUUUCCUUGAGUACGCCCAACGUUGGCGGAAUUCGUCGUGUAGCGGUGAAAUGCUUAGAUAUGACGAAGAACUCCGAUUGCGAAGGCAGCUGACGGGAGCGCAACUGACGCUUAAGCUCGAAGGUGCGGGUAUCAAACAGGAUUAGAGACCCCUGUAGUCCCUGUCUCUUAUAC